rnacentral:rRNA from 1 species
UACGUAGGGCGCAAGCGUUAUCCGGAAUUAUUGGGCGUAAAGAGCUCGUAGGCGGCUUGUCGCGUCGUCCGUGAAAACUUGGGGCUCAACCCCAAGCUUGCGGUCGAUACGGGCAGGCUAGAGUUCGGUAGGGGAGACUGGAAUUCCUGGUGUAGCGGUGAAAUGCGCAGAUAUCAGGAGGAACACCGGUGGCGAAGGCGGGUCUCUGGGCCGAUACUGACGCUGAGGCGCGAAAGCUAGGGGGAGCGAACAGG